CGGCGGCGGCGGCGGCGGCGGCGACAGAGAGCGCAGCGGCUCGGCUGUAGUCCACGCCCCCUUCCCGCCCCGGUGACAGUCUCUGCGGAGAGUCGCGUUUGUGGUUUCGGAGAGCAGCCAGCGGGACGACGGCUGCUCGUUCGGGCCUCGCGACGAGGAAACCGUUUCCUGGCGAACUACCCGCCACCCCCCGCCCCGAGGCAGCCCGUACCUUGAGGGCCUGAAGAUGCUGAGAUCUACGUGGAAUUUUCUAAAACGUCAUAAAAAGAAAUGCAUCUUCCUGGGCACAGUCCUCGGAGGAGUGUAUAUCCUGGGAAAAUAUGGACAGAAGAAAAUCAGAGAAAUUCAAGAAAGAGAAGCUGCAGAGUACAUUGCUCAAGCAAGACGACAGUAUCAUUUUGAAAGUAACCAGAGGACUUGCAACAUGACAGUACUGUCCAUGCUUCCAACAUUGAGAGAGGCCUUAAUGCAACAACUCAAUUCUGAGAGCCUAACAGCUCUGCUAAAAAACAGGCCCUCAAACAAGCUGGAAAUAUGGGAGGAUCUGAAGAUAAUAAGUUUCACAAGAAGUAUCGUAGCAGUAUACAGUACUUGUAUGCUGGUGGUUCUUUUGCGAGUUCAGCUAAACAUAAUUGGUGGAUAUAUUUACCUGGAUAAUGCGGCAGUUGGCAAAAAUGGCACUACAGUUCUUGCUCCCCCAGAUGUCCAGCAGCAAUAUUUAUCAAGUAUCCAGCACCUCCUUGGAGAUGGCCUGACAGAAUUGAUCACGGUCAUUAAACAAGCUGUGCAGAAAAUUUUAGGAAGCGUUUCUCUUAAACAUUCUUUGUCACUCUUGGACUUGGAGCAAAAACUAAAAGAAAUCAGAAAUCUAGUUGAGCAGCACAAAUCUUCUUCUUGGAUUAAUAAAGAUGAAUCCAAAUCUUUAUUAUGCCAUUAUAUGAUGCCAGAUGAAGAAACUCCAUUAGCAGUUCAGGCUUGUGGGCUUUCUCCUAGAGAUGUUACCACUAUUAAACUACUUAAUGAAACUAGAGACAUGUUGGAAAGUCCAGAUUUUAGUACAGUUUUGAAUACAUGUUUAAACCGAGGUUUUAGCAGACUGCUAGACAAUAUGGCAGAGUUCUUUCGACCUACUGAACAGGACCUCCAACAUAGCAACUCCAUGAGUAGUCUUUCCAGUGUCAGCCUGCCAUUAGCUAAGAUAAUUCCAAUAGUAAAUGGACAGAUCCAUUCAGUUUGCAGUGAAACACCUAGUCAUUUUGUUCAGGAUCUAUUGAUGAUGGAGCAAGUGAAAGACUUUGCUGCUAAUGUGUAUGAAGCUUUUAGUACUCCUCAGCAACUGGAGAAGUGAUUUCUUUUCCUUCAAGAAAAACUACAGUGGAAUUCACUUUUAAAAAUACACUGAAUAAAUCAACUAUAUAUAGGUAUUAACCCAGGAUUUCAUCCAAGGAAUAUUUGAGACUGAACAGGUGUGGCCUUAUAAAAGGAUCAAAAUCUGGUCAGCUGAAAAUUUUCACCUGGAGUCCUCUACACUGUGGAGUUGUGGCAAGUGAAGAGGUGACAAGGUAAAAACCACAUGUAUUUGAAGCUAAUUGGUCUUAGACAUUACAAAUUUGUCUUCAACUAAUACAGUAAGAGCCCUCUUAUCUGGGACCCUUAGUUGUUGGGCUAAUCCACAAGGUCAUUUAAAGCAGGGAAUCACACACAAAAAACUUAUUCGUAGAGGUCCCUGGGUGGCUCAGUCAGUUAAGCAUCUGCCUUCGGCUCUGAUUAUGAUCCCAGGUCCUGAGAUCAAGCCCCAAAUUGGGCUCCCUGCUCAGUGGGGAGUCAGCUUCUCCAUCUGCCCUUCCCCCUGCUGAUAUGCUCGCUCCAGCACUCUCUCUCAAACAAAAUCUUAAGAAAAAAACUUAUUCUUAGAUAUUUUAACUUAAAGAAUGUUUAUUUGUCAAAUAUUUACUGUAAGACCCAGGUCUUUUCUCUUUAAUAUUGGUUCUGCUUUUGGCAUCCUCUAAUUGUACAAAUCACAUACAUUGCUUUACAUUAUAUAGUUGUGAGCCAAGAAUACAGAAUUCUUGUAGAUUUUUGCUAUAUUUUCCUCCAGUCUUUUAGAACUGUUUUGCCCAUAGUUAAUUAACACCUUUAAAUUUUUUAAAAAGGCAACAUACUUUUUUUUUUUUUAAGAUUUUAUUUUUAAGUAAUCUCCACCCAACAUGGGGCUGGAACUCACAACCCCAAGAUCAAGAGUCACAUGUUCCACCAACAGCUAGCCAGGCUCCCUUAAAAGAGCAACACAGUUUUAUCUACUCUUUCCAAAGUUCAGCUUGAUUUUUGCAGAAACUACAACUCUUCAAACUCAUGUCAUCAGUUUGUAUAAUCAUGAUAAAAAGUUCAACUGGCAUAGUCCGUUUAUUUGGUAACUGUUUUAGUUUCCUAGAGCCGCUAUACCAAAUUAUCACUAAUUGAGUGACUUAAAAAAACAGAAAUUUAUCCUCUCAGCAUUCUUGUACUUGGAAGUCCAAAAUCAAGGUGUCAGCAGGAAUAUGCUCCCUCUGAAGGCUCUAGAGAAGACUGUUCAAUUCUUUCUUGACUCUCCCAGCUUUUGGUGGCCCAAGUGUCCCUUGGCUUAUAGUACAAACUCCAUUCCCUGCCUCAGCACAGGGCCUUCUCUGUGUGUCUGUGUUCUUUUUCUCUUACAAGGAUACUUUCAUUGAGGACCCACCUAUGUACAGCAUGGUCUUAGCUCAACACUUGAAUUACAUUUGCAAAGACAGCAUUUGCAAGUAAGAGCACAUUCUUGGCUUCCCGGUGGACAUGAAUUGUUGGGGAAUACCAUUCAACCCACCAUAGUAACAAAUGCAAUUCAGCUUGGUAGACAUACAUUGCAGCAAGUAGAAAUUGAAGGGAAGGGUGUGCCAGAUAGAAAUCUAUUACCUGAAAGCAUGUAGCUUGCCCUAGGCAUCAAUCAGUAUGCUUUUCAAAGCAGAUAGAAAGCUUCAGUUAACCCAGUAAAUUGGUUGAACAGAGAUUAUUUAAAACUGCUUCAACUUUUUCUCUUUCAAACUUGUAUAAAUGUGUAUGUCACUGUGUAUGUAUAAAAAUUUGAUAAGAGUAUUUAUUUGCUUGAAGAUAGGAAGAUUCUAUAUAACUAGGUCUUUCAGAAACUUACAUAAUUGAAAUGAACAGAAGGCAAAACAUCUGUCUUGUAUUCUGUUGUCCCAAUUCAUAUUUAGUUGAAGAGCCUGACCUUUUAGAUAAUUACGUUGUUUGCUACAGUACUAAUAAGAAAAUGAGAAUCUUAUUAAAGUGAUACCCAUAUCCAAAAUAUCAGUGUCUAGAUUAUUCAGUCCAAUAAUCUAGUUUGGUUUGCUUUCAGCAUUUCUCUAGUCAUUAAAGGAAAAUCAGAAGUUACUGAAAUUCAAAUCAAGCCAUUUUGUACCUACUUAAUAACUCUGAGAAAAGGAUUGAUGGGAAGAUAUAAACUAUUGGCUUAAAAUAGGUAAUGAGAGAUCUGAUUUUUAAUUAUCCUUACUAUAAUUCUUGUUCUCAUAUCACAGAUAUUUUUUCAUAUAGUUGGGUUAAAUGCUGAACUAUAUUUUGUCAUUUAUCUCCCUCAUAGCUACUAAAUAACUCCCUUUUUUUGUUUUUUAUUAGUUUAGUGUUUGGGAUCAUAUAAGUCUGUCCAAGUUGGAUUUCUAAUAAAAUUUUAAUUGGGAUUCAGAACUAUGUAAAAUAUCUUGGCAUGGUUUCAAAAAUUUGGUAAUUUUAGAAACUUGAACAAUGAGUAAUUUUUUUUAAAAGUUUUCAAUGUUAGCAUGUUUUAGGAAAUAUGUACUUUUCAUUCUCUAUUUGAAGCAUUUUUUGGAAAAGUGAGAUGUCUGCAUUUGAUUAAUGUGACAAAAUAGAACCUGGAGUACUUCAAAUAAAGACCUGGCCAAUUAAACAUCUUUUGUUGAGGAGAGCGAGUUCUGUAAUCAGUAUUCCUUUAAAUUUACAUCAAAAUCAAUAUUAUUUUUACUUCAUUAUUUUGCUUCUUUCUUAGAUUUGAGUAGAAUUCCUAAUUUUCAGUUAGGUUUUCAAAUUCAAUUUGCUUGAAGGCACAUAUAGGAAACAUAUUUAUUAACUUAAAUUGGAGCUCAAAUUAGCUCACCUACAAAAAUUGGCCUAUACCUCCAAUCCCACACUCCAAUCACUCCCCCUCCAAAACCCUGAAAGAAUAUAUUACUAAAAUAUUAAUAGUCAUGAUCUAAACAAUGGCUUUAGCAUUUCUAAAAUGCUUUGAGCAUCUUUGUAUGUUUUAAAAUACCUACAGUAAAAAUACAUCAGAUUUAUGACCAAGAGGGAAAAAAAAGCAAUUUUUUUGAUAAAAAGACAAUUACUGUGAGCAUUGAAAAUAUGAAUUAGGCCAAAUUUAUUAUAUACCUACCAUCUGUAUUAGUCUGCUAGGGCUGCCAUAACAAAAUACCACAGACUAGGUGGCUUAAACCACAGUAAUAUGUUUUCUCGUAAUUCUGAAGGCUGAGAGCCCAGUGUAUUGGCAGGUU